rnacentral:tRNA from 1 species
GCGGCGGUAGCAUAGUUGGUCUAAUGCGGGAGUCUUGAAAACUUCUGAGGGUUAAACCUCCAUCCGUUCGAAUCGGAUUCGCCGCG